rnacentral:tRNA from 1 species
GUCGGCCCGUCCUUACGGCGUGCAGACCUUGGUCAGUUCGCCGGCCGCGUCGGUGACGGGGCUGAGGUCGGGGG